UACAGAGGGUGCAAGCGUUGUUCGGAAUCAUUGGGCGUAAAGCGCGCGUAGGUGGUCUGUAAAGUCGGACGUGAAAGCCCGGGGCUCAACCCCGGAAGUGCAUCCGAAACUGACAGACUUGAGUCCUGGAGAGGGUAGCAGAAUUCCUGGUGUAGAGGUGAAAUUCGUAGAUAUCAGGAGGAAUACCGGUGGCGAAGGCGGCUACCUGGACAGUGACUGACACUGAGGUGCGAAAGCGUGGGGAGCAAACAGG
rnacentral:misc_RNA from 1 species